rnacentral:rRNA from 1 species
AUGAACGCUGGCGGCAUGCCUAACACAUGCAAGUCGAUCGGUAAGGCUCUUCGGAGUACACGAGAGGCGGACGGCUGAGUAACGCGUAGGAACACACCCUGCAGUGAGGGAUACGACACCGAAAGGUGUUCUAAUACCGCAUACGGUCUUCGGAUUAAAGCAUUUAUGCGCUGAAGGAGUGGCCUGCGUCAUAUUAGAUAGUUGGUGAGGUAAUGGCUCACCAAGUCGAUGAUGUGUAGCUGGUCUGAGAGGAUGAUCAGCCAGACUGGAACUGAGACACGGUCCAGACUCCUACGGGAGGCAGCAGUGAGGAAUAUUUCACAAUGAGCGAAAGCUUGAUGGAGCAAUGCCGCGUGCAGGAUGAAGGCCCUCGGGUUGUAAACUGCUUUUAUAAGAGAAGAUUAUGACGGUAACUUAUGAAUAAGGGACGGCUAACUACGUG